GACGAACGCUGGCGGCGUGCUUAACACAUGCAAGUCGAACGAAGAGCGACGGAAGCUUGCUUCUAUCACUCUUAGUGGCGCACGGGUGAGUAACGCGUAAUCAACCUGCCCUUCAGAGGGGGACAACAGUUGGAAACGACUGCUAAUACCGCAUACGAUCUAACCUCGGCAUCGAGGAUAGAUGAAAGGUGGCCUCUACAUGUAAGCUAUCACUGAAGGAGGGGAUUGCGUCUGAUUAGCUAGUUGGAGGGGUAACGGCCCACCAAGGCGAUGAUCAGUAGCCGGUCUGAGAGGAUGAACGGCCACAUUGGGACUGAGACACGGCCCAGACUCCUACGGGAGGCAGCAGUGGGGAAUCUUCCGCAAUGGACGAAAGUCUGACGGAGCAACGCCGCGUGAGUGAUGACGGCCUUCGGGUUGUAAAGCUCUGUUAAUCGGGACGAAAGGCCUUCUUGCGAAUAGUGAGAAGGAUUGACGGUACCGGAAUAGAAAGCCACGGCUAACUACGUG
rnacentral:rRNA from 1 species